GAAAUUCCACCAGCGCGUCCUCGGAAGCGACUGGAAGCUCCGGGGAAGGCAGAGCCCGCAGCAUCCGCCACCGGCCGGAGAGGGAAAGAUGCUCCCCGCACAAACCAUUCCUGCGCGGUCACAACGAGUAAGUAACGCAGAGCGCUGCCGGUCCUGGCCGACUCCAGCACACCCCCAGAGAGAGAUGGCAGCGUUUCAUGGUCCUUGGCACUCUGAAGAGCAACCCAGGGAAUCCGCAGUGGGAUCGCCCGCGAAGUGACGCCCCUGACCUAAGCUGUCACCAGAGGUCUGCGGGCAGACGCGCUGGAACAAGAAUGCUAAAAAGCAGGGGCAGCCCUAUGGACGCCAUCCCUCCUACGAUGCUAUCUUUAGGGAAGAGGUUGCACGGGGAGACCCCCCCAAAAUAAACACUCGUUUUUUCAAUGUG